rnacentral:rRNA from 1 species
AGACCCGAAACCCGGUGAUCUAGCCAUGGGCAGGUUGAAGGUUGGGUAACACUAACUGGAGGACCGAACCGACUAAUGUUGAAAAAUUAGCGGAUGACCUGUGGCUGGGGGUGAAAGGCCAAUCAAACCGGGAGAUAGCUGGUUCUCCCCGAAAGCUAUUUAGGUAGCGCCUCGUGAAUUCAUCUCCGGGGGUAGAGCACUGUUUCGGCUAGGGGGCCAUCCCGGCUUACCAACCCGAUGCAAACUGCGAAUACCGGAGAAUGUUAUCACGGGAGACACACGGCGGGUGCUAACGUCCGUCGUGAAGAGGGAAACAACCCAGACCGCCAGCUAAGGUCCCAAAGUCAUGGUUAAGUGGGAAACGAUGUGGGAAGGCCCAGACAGCCAGGAUGUUGGCUUAGAAGCAGCCAUCAUUUAAAGAAAGCGUAAUAGCUCACUGGUCGAGUCGGCCUGCGCGGAAGAUGUAACGGGGCUAAACCAUGCACCGAAGCUGCGGCAGCGAACGUAUCACCCAAGACAACUUUACGGAGUUGACGAUUGACGGAGCGAAGCGACGUCAAAGCGUUCAUUAAAGUCGAGUUGGCUUAGGGAUACGUUCGUUGGGUAGGGGAGCGUUCUGUAAGCCUGUGAAGGUGUGUCGUGAGGCAUGCUGGAGGUAUCAGAAGUGCGAAUGCUGACAUAAGUAACGAUAAAGCGGGUGAAAAGCCCGCUCGCCGGAAGACCAAGGGUUCCUGUCCAACGUUAAUCGGGGCAGGGUGAGUCGACCCCUAAGGCGAGGCCGAAAGGCGUAGUCGAUGGGAAACGGGUUAAUAUUCCCGUACUUGGUGUUACUGCGAAGGGGGGACGGAGAAGGCUAUGUUGGCCGGGCGACGGUUGUCCCGGUUUAAGCGUGUAGGUGUGUGUUCCAGGUAAAUCCGGUUCACUUUAACACUGAGGCGUGACGACGAGGCACUACGGUGCUGAAGCAACAAAUGCCCUGCUUCCAGGAAAAGCCUCUAAGCAUCAGGUAACACGAAAUCGUACCCCAAACCGACACAGGUGGUCAGGUAGAGAAUACCAAGGCGCUUGAGAGAACUCGGGUGAAGGAACUAGGCAAAAUGGUGCCGUAACUUCGGGAGAAGGCACGCUGACACGUAGGUGAAGUGAUUUACUCAUGGAGCUGAAGUCAGUCGAAGAUACCAGCUGGCUGCAACUGUUUAUUAAAAACACAGCACUGUGCAAACACGAAAGUGGACGUAUACGGUGUGACGCCUGCCCGGUGCCGGAAGGUUAAUUGAUGGGGUCAGCGUAAGCGAAGCUCCUGAUCGAAGCCCCGGUAAACGGCGGCCGUAACUAUAACGGUCCUAAGGUAGCGAAAUUCCUUGUCGGGUAAGUUCCGACCUGCACGAAUGGCGUAAUGAUGGCCAGGCUGUCUCCACCCGAGACUCAGUGAAAUUGAACUCGCUGUGAAGAUGCAGUGUACCCGCGGCAAGACGGAAAGACCCCGUGAACCUUUACUAUAGCUUGACACUGAACAUUGAGCCUUGAUGUGUAGGAUAGGUGGGAGGCUUUGAAGUGUGGACGCCAGUCUGCAUGGAGCCGACCUUGAAAUACCACCCUUUAAUGUUUGAUGUUCUAACGUGGACCCGUAAUCCGGGUUGCGGACAGUGUCUGGUGGGUAGUUUGACUGGGGCGGUCUCCUCCUAAAGA